GUCUCGGUUGGCUGAAAAACACAAAAAACCGAAACUCACCGACGACGGGGCUCUCCGGUGCGGCGGCUCAUCCGGCUCACGUUGUAGUUUAGUGUUUUGCUUUAGUCAACCUGUAGAGAAGGAAACGGUGAUCACAACGGUAGAAAAAUUACGUAGAACGAGAACCUGAAAGAGUCUCAUCGGAGACGUUUUGUGAAAUUCCCUGCGGCGGCGGCGCCGGGCUUUGCCCAUGUUUUCCGACUAAUCAGCAGAUAUGUUUGCUCCGAUUUUGCCAUGAAUAUAUUUAAAAUUGAAUUCUUAGUAAAGAGAAAUUUUUUUACCUCUUUUGGCGGUCGAAAAAGGCUCCGGCGUGGCAGCGGGUGGCGGCGGUCUCCUUUCCGGUAGCAGGGUCUUCUUCUCCGGUGAGGGGGUCUGACGGUUAGGGUUAGGGUUUAGUGCGAACGAGGAUUAUUUAUAUCCCUCUGAAUUUAAUCUAAACCGUCCAUCACGUUUGAUUUGUACCAUCCGAUCGCGAUUAAAUAGGAAGUGAAUUUGGGCCGUUCAUCGCGAUCUAAUCUGUACCGUUCAUCGCAAUCCAAUCUGACCAUCCGAUUGCGUUGGGGAGGGAACGCAUCUGGACUGUCCGUGUGCGUGGAAACGGAUCUGGGUUGUUCGAUCGCUGGAACGCGGAUCAUCCGCGUGGCUCCCACGUCGUACCGCGUCAGCGUCCGCUAUCACGUGGCACGUCCUGAUUCAUCGGGCCUAGUGACCGGACAUCUGACGUGGUAAAACUUCUCUAAAUUAUAUUUUGACCCCCCGGUUUCCGAUUUUUCUUUCAAAAAUGACCUCAAAAUCCAAAUUUUCACCCUUUUUUUCUAAAAUUAUUUUCAAUUUAAUCUUCCAUCAAUUUUACUUCAUUUUUACUCUAAAUUAAAAUUAUAAAAUUAAAAAAUUAUAUUUCUAAAUAAAUCUUAAAUUACAUUAAAAAUUAAUUUAGGGUAUUACAUCAAACACAAUGAACAGCCCAAAUUUAAGAAAUAUGGGUAUAAACAUCUCGCAUCACACCGAACCCAAACCCUACCCGCCAGAGAAGAAAAACCAGUCGCCGGAGAAGGGAGCCGACCGCUGCCCCGCCAUGCCAGAGCCACCUUCAACCGUCAAAAAAGGUAAACAAAUUCUCCUAUAUGCUCGAAAUUUGAUUCCAAACACCCUCAUAGCCAAAUCAGAGUAAAAAGAAGGGUGAAUGAGCCAAAACCGCAGGUAAGGUCCAGCGGUGCCGCCGCGGACAAAACCCAAAAUCGCCUCCGAUGAACCCCUUCCCGUUUCUCUUUUCGUACGAUUUUUUCACAAUUAUGUUCACCAUUCUAUUUUCUAUAGAUUGAUCGAAGAAAAACGCUCAGCAGCGAAGAUGAGCCGGCGGAGCCGCUACACUGAAAAAUUUCGCCACCGAUAAGUUUUUAGUUUUUGACUAUUUUUUGCCAACCGAAUCCCUUUAAUGUGUUUUCUCGCAGGAAUGGGUAUAAAAUCGGCUAAAACUGGUCAAAACUAACCGAAAACCCCCAGGGUGAGGCAAACCACCACUGCCGCCGCCCGCGGCGGUGCCGUCACCGGAGCACAGCGGUGCCAUCAUGCUGGAAUUCUGAAAUUAACCGAAAAUGAUUUUUAAUACCGAUUUUGGAUUUUUUUGGGUAUUUUUAGAUACGUAAAGCGUGUUUUAAUCCCCGUAGAAAAAUUCAGGAAACCGGGGACUAAAAGUAGGUGCAGUAAAAAGUUCGACAUUUCGGAUAUCGAUUCAGAUAAGAAUUCAUCACCUUAUCAUCUGUUAUAGAAUUGAACCUUAAUAAUUGGUAAUAUAGUAUUUGUAUAAUUUAGAAAACUUUGAAAAUAAUUACAGGUUACCAAUGGAGACGGAACCGGUUAGUUAUUUAUUUGUUGUCCUAUUUAACUGAUUGUUGAAUUUACAGUUUUAAAUACAUGAUAAUGUACUGGUAUGGUUAAUUGAUUCAAUUGUGCUUUCUUAAUAUAUAGAUUGCUUGUCUUAUAUGAUUUAUGGUUAAUUUAUGAAAUUGGCAAUUAAUAUGCAAACAAAAAAUUAAUUGAUCAUAUAAAUUAAUGAAUGGUAAUCUCACUAGAUGGCUUUUUUUGUGUGGGAAGCAACCAAUAAAUGUAUUUUGACUUUGGACAUGCUAAGAAGGGAAAUGUAUUGGUUAAUAGAUGCUACUUAUGUCAUACUGCUGAGAAAACAUGCAACCCUUUAUUAUUAUCUUGCCCAGUGACUUACAACAUAUGAACCUCUGUUUUCGGGCUGUUAGGGUUACGGCUGGUAGUGUGAGUAAUAAGCUGUGGGCGUAGGUGGGCUUUUGUCGAAAGAAAAAUUAUUUAUUCCUUAUUCCACUUACUAUAUUUUGGGUGGUGUGGAAGUAAAGAAAUGGGAGAGCUUUUCAGUGUAUAUACACUAACUUUACAAGAGUUAAAGAUAGAUGGAUUCAUAAUUUUGACUCUAUUUUGUUGAAUCAUUAUAUCAAAAAUUUGAACGACUUUGGUGUUGUCAUGAACCACUUAAUUGACAUGUAAUUAUUUUUAUAUGUGGGUGAUAUCUCCUUGAUACCUUGUGCAUAAUAAUAUUUUCCUUACAUUUCAAAAAACUAUCUUACAACAAAGUUGUUUGCCUUAUUCCCCUUACUAUUUUUUUGAAUUUUAUGAAAAGAAAAAAACAAUUAUGUUUUUGCGGGUAUAGAAGAC
rnacentral:lncRNA from 1 species